rnacentral:ncRNA from 1 species
CGUUUUCAGGGCGGGGUGGAAAUCCCCACUGGCGGUAACGGGCGUUGCGACGCCCGAAGUCCGCGACCCGCGGAUACGCGGCUGACCCGGUGCGAGUCCGGGACCAACGGUCAGAGUCCGGAUGGAAGAAA